UCAGAUAAGCCUAACCUUAAAAGCACCUGAUUCUAUCCUAUCCUAUCUUGGAAGUUAAGUAGGGUCAACUCUGAUUAGUACCUUGCUGGGAAACUACCAAAGAAUGCUAUGUGGUGUGGA
rnacentral:rRNA from 11 species